CACGCCCAGCCUGGGCAAGAUGCCAGGGGCAUGACAAAAAUCUAGAAACUUUUGGGGAAAUAUUACUUUAACCUAACCCUCAUUUCACCCCAAUUUUACCCUCCAAACAUAAAGUAUGAAUGUGUAUCCAUGACACUGUGGAAGAUCUGUGACGGGGAUUUCCAGACCACGAUUCUAUUGACAUGGCUUUGAGGAUCAGUGUGUGUGUGUCAGCAGACAGGAACGCGUUAAGUGUGAGACAUCCAUCUCUUGCUUGCCAUGCAAUGUCUGUCAAGGCAGCAUUAACAUUGAUGAGAGCGAACUGGAUAGAGAUGGCGUCCGUCCAGUCACGGACCUCAUCAUCAUGACUGCAAUCCUUUUGAUCAUCACCUCCGUCUCUCCCUCUGUCGAGGGCCAGCCCAUGGCAAUACGCAUGCUGCAUUACUCCAGAGAUAAAUGGCAAUAAGAAUAAUAAAGAGGGUGGAGAGCAAGUAAUCCAAUCUAGGUGAAGUCAUCGGCUCAGACGUGGAUUCCAUUGUGACAGUGGCAAGCCGUAAAGACUAAUUGACAGGUGCACAGUUGAAUUCGCCAUGUGUCAGCAAGUAGCGUGUCAUAAUUGUGCAACUUUCAAAAGUGAAAGAGCAACAAGGGAUACUCCAGCCACAUCAGCUAUGAGGCAGCAGUGAUUGUCCCUUGUCGGUCCCAGGGCUCCUACAGUGGAGGCCCACCCUACAGCCAUGCCGGCAGACAGGCUGAUGAGGCAGACAAGGCUUACUUUGAGAACCCAGGGGAACACCACACAAACACACACGUGCACGCACACACAUAAACAGUGAAUUCUAGUGAGGUGAAAGGAGUUCAUACUAUCAAUUGUCUUGUGUGGACCAACCAAAUGUCCACAAAAUAAAGGUGGCAUGUUAAAAAAACAAGAGGCAGGAGUGCACAAGGCCGUGCACAAAGGUGAGCAGGAGCAUCUGCAAUCAGACGUGCAUGUACAGUACUCAUGCAAAAACAAAUACAGAAAAGCACAAGAGCAGGUAGAUGCACUCAGCCGUCGGCACACAAAUACACAUGCACGCACAGGCAUGCAUGCACACACACACACUCACACACAGACAGACUGGCAGAGUAUCAAAAGCACAGCAGACAAUGCAAAAGCAGACACACUUGGACUCCCUGGGACUACAACUAACAAUGGCAUCAAAUAUGGAACUGUAGUUGUCAGAAAUAAAGAUUUCAAUCUUUAUUCACCAUAGUCUUUGGUCUCAUGAGAUUCAUGUUCAUCUUACACUGGAUGAGGUCAAUACAUUGACACUAAGGUGUGGAAAUAAGAUUUUGCAUGAAAAAGCAUUGCAAUUCAUAAGAAACCUUUUGGGGCUUCCGAUAAAAUUGAUUCCUGUACUAAGUGAUUGUAACACUUGUUAAAUUGUGUAUUUGUAGUUGUU